rnacentral:rRNA from 1 species
UACGGGGGGGGUAAGCGUUGUUCGGAAUUACUGGGCGUAAAGGGCGCGUAGGCGGUCAGCACAAGUCAGUUGUGAAAUCUCCGGGCUUAACUCGGAAAGGUCAACUGAUACUGUGCGACUAGAGUGCAGAAGGGGCAACUGGAAUUCUCGGUGUAGCGGUGAAAUGCGUAGAUAUCGAGAGGAACACCGGUGGCGAAGGCGGGUCUCUGGGCCGAUACUGACGCUGAGGAGCGAAAGCGUGGGGAGCGAACAGG